rnacentral:rRNA from 1 species
AUAAUGGGUCAGCGACUUAUAUUCUGUAGCAAGGUUAACCGAAUAGGGGAGCCGAAGGGAAACCGAGUCUUAACUGGGCGUUAAGUUGCAGGGUAUAGACCCGAAACCCGGUGAUCUAGCCAUGGGCAGGUUGAAGGUUGGGUAACACUAACUGGAGGACCGAACCGACUAAUGUUGAAAAAUUAGCGGAUGACUUGUGGCUGGGGGUGAAAGGCCAAUCAAACCGGGAGAUAGCUGGUUCUCCCCGAAAGCUAUUUAGGUAGCGCCUCGUGAAUUCAUCUCCGGGGGUAGAGCACUGUUUCGGCAAGGGGGUCAUCCCGACUUACCAACCCGAUGCAAACUGCGAAUACCGGAGAAUGUUAUCACGGGAGACACACGGCGGGUGCUAACGUCCGUCGUGAAGAGGGAAACAACCCAGACCGCCAGCUAAGGUCCCAAAGUCAUGGUUAAGUGGGAAACGAUGUGGGAAGGCCCAGACAGCCAGGAUGUUGGCUUAGAAGCAGCCAUCAUUUAAAGAAAGCGUAAUAGCUCACUGGUCGAGUCGGCCUGCGCGGAAGAUGUAACGGGGCUAAACCAUGCACCGAAGCUGCGGCAGCGACGCUGAUGCGUUGUUGGGUAGGGGAGCGUUCUGUAAGCCUGCGAAGGUGUGCUGUGAGGCAUGCUGGAGGU